rnacentral:rRNA from 1 species
AAAGGAAUUGACGGGGACCCGCACAAGCGGUGGAGCAUGUGGUUUAAUUCGAAGCAACGCGAAGAACCUUACCAGGUCUUGACAUCCCUUGACAACUCCAGAGAUGGAGCGUUCCCUUCGGGGACAAGGCGACAGGUGGUGCAUGGUUGUCGUCAGCUCGUGUCGUGAGAUGUUGGGUUAAGUCCCGCAACGAGCGCAACCCUUAUUACUAGUUGCCAGCAUUCAGUUGGGCACUCUAGUGAGACUGCCGGUGACAAACCGGAGGAAGGUGGGGAUGACGUCAAAUCAUCAUGCCCCUUAUGACCUGGGCUACACACGUGCUACAAUGGCGUAUACAACGAGUUGCCAACCCGCGAGGGUGAGCUAAUCUCUUAAAGUACGUCUCAGUUCGGAUUGUAGGCUGCAACUCGCCUACAUGAAGUCGGAAUCGCUAGUAAUCGCGGAUCAGCACGCCGCGGUGAAUACGUUCCCGGGUCUUGUACACACCGCCCGUCACACCAUGAGAGUUUGUAACACCCAAAGCCGGUGGGGUAACCUUCGGGAGCCAGCCGUCUAAGGUGGGACAGAUGAUUAGGGUGAAGUCGUAACAAGGUAGCCGUAGGAGAACCUGCGGCUGGAUCACCUCCUUU